UGGGCUUUCAAUAGAAGGAUUCUUUUCUUCCUUGAGUUGAAGAGGGAGGGGGUGAGUGUCAUGGCAGGCCCAGAGGCAGCAGUUCUUUCUGUGCAAAGGUCAUGACAGAAGCUUCUCAUAGAUGGGAGGAGGCCCAGGGCUGUCUCUUGCAGAGAUGAUGCAACACUAUCCAAUGGCAGCACCCUCUUGCUGGUUGCACCCAGAGCAUCCCCUCUCCGUGGCAUCACGACACACUCUUGAAUACAGAAGACAGCAUGGACAGGCAAUAGGUAGAUACUUUCUUCUACAAUAUAGAGCUGGUAAACAGUUAUUCUGAAACACAAAGAUAGGUGUGAGGCUUGAGGGAGAGGGCGCCCUACCUUGACUGAGCGGCACAGCGGAGCUGGCCCUGGAGCCAGACCACGGCAGGAGAGCAGGAGAGCUGACCCCAGCCUCGCUGGGGCAGUGCUGGAGAGCUCUCCCUGGUGGCGCAGAUAAGGGAGAGCCAGCAAGCUGACCGUCUGAGCUACCGCCCAGGCCCAGAUCCAGGGCUCUGAGUUGGCCCACCCCAAAAUCUACAUCAUCUAUGAAGGGUUGGGACUCCUGCUGUUCCAAAGCUUCGGGAUCUCCAUGACACGGCGCAACAACAGGAGAACUGGGAGGAGUUCUGAUGAGGAUCCAACGUUGAUGGUGUCACAGAAGUCAGAGAUCUCGAACCGGACCAGCGACCCAUUGCCAUUGCAAGUGAAGAUGUGUGGACAGAGGGAUAUACUACAGGGCACGCUGUGACACACUACAGCUUCCACGCCGAGAUCUUUUCUAUGCUUUAUUGUCGUUGUGUGUUUUAUUCUGUGGGAAGUUUGCAAGGGCGGAAGGCAGCUGCGAGGGAACAGGGAGAUGAGCGGGACUGGGGUGCAUGAUGUGAAAAUCACAAAGAGUCAAUAAAAAGUUUUUAAAAAGGUGCUAGGUGGAUUCAAUACUAGGAAUAAAUGGCAAAAUCUUGAAACUUGUGCGAAUUAUCCAGGCACACAUGUUAAUGCCAUUGGAAUGGGAGGGGCUGACUAAGCAAGGCAGUAAAAGCGCUUCACUUGCAGGCAAACACUGAUAGCUUUACAUAAAAAUCAAACAUUUACACACAAUUAAAUGUGCCUUUAACAGAAGUGAAAGACAAACUGUGGUCUGGAGAAACUCACUUGCACUAGAAAUAUUAAUGUCCACAAUAUAUAAUGAUCUUUUACAAAUCAAUAAGCAAGAAAACGGGAAAUGUGUUAGGCUCUAGACCGGGAAUUAAGAAAAACCUGAGUAGUGAAUAAAUACUCGAGAAACAGGGUCCUUGCUGGUGCUGUUCUGAUGACACUGGAUGGCGUGAUGUAGCAGGUGGGCACCGUCUGUGGUUUAACCAUCCAUGCCCAUACAUCUACCCCAGAUGAAUUCUCUUCUCUGUGCCUGAGAAGACAUAAGAAGAAGUUGUUCUCAUGACUUAGUUGUGAAAGUGUAAAUGUGAGAAGACCUUAUGCAAAGCACAGAGGAGAAGUGGGAAAAUACGCAGCACAUAGCUUCAGUGGACAGGUGACUGGAUGAGCAGAAACCACGUGUGCCAGCAUACAUGUCCUUAGAAUCAGGUUUUUUAAAAACACCGCACCUUUAAAAACUUCAAGACCUCACACUUCAAACACACCCAGGGGCUGCGAGGAUGCCCUGUCAGAAAAAUGCUGGGCGUGCAAGCAUGAGGACCUGAGUUCGGUCCCCAGAGUGGGCAUAUAGAAGCAGACCCGGUAGGGGGAAGGUAAAACCAGGUGGCUCUCUGGGGUUCACGGGCCAGUCUGCUUUAGCUGAGUUAGUAAGCUCCAGGCCAAUGAGAGACCCUACUUCAAAAAGCACAGUGGGGCUGGGGAGAUGGAGCAGAGGGGGGCAUGCCCAAUGUGCAAGCAAGACUGGAAUUCAGACGCCCAGAACUCAGGUAAAUCCUGGGUGGGUGUGGCAGCCCAGUUCUGACUCAGAAAGUAGAGGACAGAUCCCCAGCUCAAGCUGCGUAGCCAGACUAGCAGAAGCAGCACGCUCUGAGUUCUCCUGAGAGACCUGGCAAGGUGAACAAGGCACAGAGCAAUGAAGAAGACCCUGACUUCAGCUUCUAGCCUCCCUAUGCCUGCACACAAAUACACAGACCUGAGAAAAAGCAAGGGUGAACAGCUCCUGAGGAACACACCUCAAGGUUGACCUCUGGCCCAAGGCUGACCUCCAGCCUCCGUGUGCAUGAACACACACACACACACACACACACACACACACACACCUGCCUAUACCUGCACAUUGCCCAACCUGUGAUUUUGCUGUAAGCCUCGAUGACCUUCACACCCUCUGGGUGUGAUGCCCUCAGGGAAUGAGGUGCAAAUGAAGGGGAGGGGUGGGGCUUGAUCUUGGCACAGCUGGUCAGUGGUUAAUCUAGUGAAAUGGAUGUGUGUUAUGCCAUUUCCCGUGCUUUCUCAUACUUCUGAGACAUUUCAUGGUUACAAUUUUUUUUUUUUUUAAGAAAAUGCAUUGGUUUAAUAUCAUUAACUACUGCAUGAUUCUUCUAUCUGGGAAACCCUGGAUAAUUAACCGAAAAAUACUUAGGGCUAAUAAACACGGCGUGUCCCCUGAGGUAGGACUGCUGCAGAACUCUCACCUCCCACUCUUGGGACUUGUUUGCGUUUUCAAAAUGAUGAGCACAUAUCAGUGUUCUACUCAGAAAACAAUAAUGAGAGUUCCAUCCUGAAAACCAAAUAAAAUGCAAGCGUGAAUAAAAACACCUGAUAAAGUUUAGCAUGGAGACAGAAAGAAGUUAAUGAGAAGAACUGACGAUGUUGGAAUAAAGCCUCAGUUCAAAAAGCUGCCCUAAGUAAUAGUCAGAAAUGUGCAAAACUGAGAGUGGAACCAAGUAGCUAGACACAAAGGAAAACCUGAAAAAACAAAAAAAAAAAAUGCCCAAGGAAGGCCUGGGGCGUGUUGUUCGUACUCCGAGGUGUUGAAUUUAUCUUGGUGGAAAGAGCACUUGAUGCUCUUCGGCAUCACCAGGGUUCCAGUACCCUCAUCAGGUGGCCUCAGCUGCCCACAAGUCCCGCUCCACGGGAUCCAGAGCCUGCUGGCCACUGCUGGCACCUUCACUCACGUGUGUGUAACUCCACCCGGACUCACACACAGAAACAUACAUAAACUCAUAGAGACACAUACAGACAUACACACAGACGUACACACACAGACACAUAGACACAGACACAUAGACAUAGACACACACGCAAACACAUACACAGACACACACAUAGACACACACACAAACACAUAUACAUACAUAGACACACAGAGAUACAAACACACAUACAGAUACAUACACAAACACACACAGACACGCACAUUGACGCACACAUAGAGACACAGACACAUAGCCACACACAGAGAGACACAUACACAUAAUUUAAGAAGAAAAAUGUAAGACUCUUGAGCUCUUUCUAGAAAAACCUACCCCUGCAACAGAGUCGCGCUUGGUUUCAGAACACUUAAGGAUGCACCAAAGUCCAUGUGACUUGGAACCAGAACUCCUGCCCAGAAAUACCUAGGAUAUGAAACUGUCUUAAUUAAACACCAUAAAGUAUCAAGUUAUAAAGACAGAAUAAGGCUGGCACGAUGGCUCAGUGGGUAAAGUGGCUGCUGUCAAGCCUGGGCUUCUGAGCUCAGAGCCCACAGGAAUAUUGCUAUUCAAGUCUGUAUCCCCCGGCUGGGGCUGAGGGAGGGGACAGAGGGUCCCUGAAGCCCACUGGCAGCCACCCCAGCUGAAGCAACGAGCUCCAGAUUCAGUGGGAGACCCUGCCUCAAAAACUAACAAGGAGAGAGAUUGAGGACCGUACCCAACAUUGACCCCUGCUCCUCCACACACAUGUUCAUACACACGCAGAACAUACAUAAGCCACAGAGAGAGAGAGAGAGGAAUGAUCAGGAUUAAUUCAUUCCUGGGUUAUACACUCACUCUGAACAAACAUCCUUGCACACACACACACACACACACCUUACAGGGUUACUAGAAACCUGCUUAAGUUUCAGAAUAUUAACAGUGACCAUUUCUGAUGGGUGGGGCUGCUGCACAAAUUUUGCAUUCUCCACAUUUUGUUCAUUGCAUUUUGUAUAAUUAAUGUGCUUCAGCUUUGUAAUACAAAAUAUAAUGAGCUUCAGAAAGCUGUGCUCCUACCCACGUAGGACAAGUCUGUUAUUAAUCACCCUUCCGG